GUCCCUGUAGCGCAAUAGAUAGCGCGUUGGCCUUUUAAUCCAAAAGGUAUGGGUUCGAAUCCCACCUGGGAUA